UUUGACUGUUCGCUGAUUCUUACUUUUAAUUAAUUAUUUUUCUUUUUUAUAUGCACCUAUCUUUUCCUUUCACUGUUUACUCACAUUCUGCGCGAAAAUAUCUGUCUUUGCGUCUCAUUCACCGUUCAUUGUAUUUUUGUUCUUGAAGUAACCGCUAUAAUUGUCAAUGAAUAUUUCAAUCAUUGUACUCAAACAUAACUGCGUGAAAAAUAAUGUUAAUAAACUAGAACGGAAACCCCGAAUCUCCUACAUGUUUGUUCUCUACGCCAGCAUGUGCCGUUCAGAAGAAGCUAACCGGCCCGCAUGGUCUCCAGAGUUUUCUUUUCUUCGUUUUACAAUUUAUCAGCGCCAUGUGUGGCCUACACAACGAGCUUUUACCGCAACUACAAAGCUUUAAACGAGAAACUCCUCAGGGCGCACCAGUGCUGGGCGCGCCAGCGAGCGCCGCGCCCUCUGCACGCUUCAUCGUAAGCUAUUCCCGCCUGGCAGGCUCGCUGCCUCGCUCACGACACUAGGCAAACCUUUCUAGCCACGAUAGUUCUGCGUUCGUGUGUGUGUCGUCGUGCCGAGUUUUGUUCAUACGGUCGACUUUUACCGCGCUGCCUCGCAUUGUGUGUUGUAUGUUGUGGUAAAGUGUUCUAGAAAGAUAGUUGUGGUUACUGACGUUAAGCGCAAGUUCGUCACGCAGUGUUAUACGCGGUAGCUGGUAAAUAGUCACCAGAUGCCGGCCGUGCGACUCCAGUCUGCGACUGCUUUGUUCAGUGUGACCGACGGAGGCGAUUCAUGGUUUUGAAAAACACGUUCUUCAAAUGUUUCCGCACGUCAGUAGGGUGCCUUGAUGCGCGUUUUGUCCGCUCACAUCGAGGCACAGUACACGGCAGUGAGUAGCAGCGCUGCAAUCCUUUCUCGACGACGCGUUCUGUGGCCUUGGAAAAUGCCUUGACGCUCGGGGACGGCCGGUAGCUCGGCGAUUCCUCGCUUGGCGCACCAUUGAAAACCGGCGGUCAUCCAGCAGUGUACGCUGCCAGCGUAUUUUUUAUUGCCAGAGGUAGCAAACAGCAGUGCCACGACAAACAGUGGAGUGCUGACCAUGCAGUCCAGAAGGUGGCUGAGGCAAGUAUGCUAUAGGAGGUGCUUAUUCAGGCAGAAGAAAUAAGCUUCUGUAGCCAACGUAAAGGAAGCAUCUUCAAAAAGCAGUGCUACAAGGAUGUGAGCAGCAGUUUCCCUUCAACGAACGGGUCAAAUUCAUGGAAGCCACAUGCCUGCUGCUUCUGGCCUACACAAACAUGCAGCCACCAUAGUAAAGUUCUUGCAAAGACAUUCUACACGAACUUGCCCAAAGGCAGAAGGAAGGCACGCACAGAUGGAUGCACAGAAAUCAUGGGGCUGCCGUAGAAGCUGUGAAUGAGCAUUAACCUGUGAACGUACAGAAAGGAGCGAAGUGGAGCUGUCCAUGGGCCGUGCACACAGUUUCAUAAGCAGGCUUGCAACACUUUUGACAAAUAUGUUCCUGAAUACAUCUGCCGAAGUGGCAUUUAAAGAA